rfam:Papio anubis isolate 1X1155 chromosome 5, whole genome shotgun sequence.
AAGGGCUUAGCUUAAUUAAAGUGAUUAACUUGCAUUCAGUUGAUGCAGAGUGAAAUUUUGCAGUCCUUG